GAAGAAUAAGAAGAGAAGGCAAAGCCACUUAACCUGAACAUAGGAGUCUGCAAGGUGCAAGUGAUCUGGAAAUAGGGAGAAAGAAGCAGAAGAAUAAGAAGACAAGAAAAGACAAAGCCACUAAACCUCUACAUAGGUUUAGUCUACAAGACAAGUCAGUACAGACAGGAUGCAGAUUCAGACCAGCCUACUCCUUUAAUAUACGUACUCCCUUCUCAAAGACCAAGCUUACUGUCUCAGACUGCCUUCAUUGAGUUUACAACGCAGCGCAGGACCAGAAGC
rnacentral:lncRNA from 1 species